rnacentral:rRNA from 1 species
GACGAACGCUGGCGGCGUGCUUAACACAUGCAAGUCGAACGGAAAGGCCCUGCUUUUGUGGGGUGCUCGAGUGGCGAACGGAUGAGUAACACGUGAGUAACCUGCCCUUGACUUUGGGAUAACUUCAGGAAACUGGGGCUAAUACCGGAUAGGAGCUCCUGCUGCAUGGUGGGGGUUGGAAAGUUUCGGCGGUUGGGGAUGGACUCGCGGCUUACCAGCUUGUUGGUGGGGUAGUGGCUUACCAAGGCUUUGACGGGUAGCCGGCCUGAGAGGGUGACCGGCCACAUUGGGACUGAGAUACGGCCCAGACUCCUACGGGAGGCAGCAGUGGGGAAUAUUGCACAAUGGGCGGAAGCCUGAUGCAGCAACGCCGCGUGCGAGAUGACGGCCUUCGGGUUGUAAACCGCUUUCGCCUGUGACGAAGCGUGAGUGACGGUAAUGGGUAAAGAAGCACCGGCUAACUACGUG